rnacentral:rRNA from 1 species
CAGAGGGCGCGAGCGUUGUCCGGAAUCACUGGGCGUAAAGGGCGCGUAGGUGGCGGCAUAAGGCCGCGGUGAAAGUUCGGGGCUCAACCCUGAAUCGGCCGCGGCGACUGUGUCGCUUGGGCACUGUAGAGGCAGACGGGAUUCCGGGUGUAGCGGUGGAAUGCGUAGAGAUCCGGAAGAACACCGGUGGCGAAGGCGGUCUGCUGGGCAGUGGAGUCGCAAGGCUCCGUAGCCGACACUGAGGCGCGACAGCGUGGGGAGCAAACAGGAUUAGAUACCCUGGUAGUCCACGCCGUAAACGAUGGGCACUAGGUGCUCCGGGGAGCGACCCUUGGAGUACCGGCGCUAACGCAUGAAGUGCCCCGCCUGGGGAGUACGGCCGCAAGGCUG